rnacentral:rRNA from 1 species
UACGUAGGCGGAAAAUUAAGUCAGUAGUGAAAUCCUGCAGCUUAACUGUAGAACUGUUAUUGAUACUGGUUUUCUUGAAUAUAGUUGAGGUAGGCGGAAUGAGUAAUGUAGCGGUGAAAUGCUUAGAUAUUACUCAGAACACCGAUUGCGAAGGCAGCUUACUAAGCUAUGAUUGACGCUGAGGCACGAAAGCGUGGGGAGCGAACAGGAUUAGAUACCCUGGUAGUCC